rnacentral:lncRNA from 1 species
AGUGAUGUAUCUUCCUAACCUCCCCUCGCUCAGGCCCCUUCCUUCCCCACUCUCGGCCUAACCCUAGCCGCACCCUUCUUUCUCCUAGCUUAACCCUAACCCUAGCCGCACCAGUGAAGGACUGAUGGUAGAGCGAGCAGUCGGGCAACAACUACGAUGAAUUAUCCCCCUUCCCAGCACCCUCGAUCAGCCCCAUGGCGACCUCGGGUGCUCCCUUCCCGACCUUGACCUCGAAGAACGGCUUCAUGUACAUCGAUGUCUCGUUUGUGUAUAAUUUCCUUCUUACAUCAAACAAUCACUCCUCAAUCUCAAUUUUGCACAGGUGUUGCUAUAUUGGAUGUGGUAAAUUGAUUUGGGCAGAUCUUGAAGAUAAGGAGGGGGAGAGGUUGUGGCGGCGGGCAAACACAAUCGACAAAGAUCACUAUAGUAUGUUUUUUAAGUUAUUUUCCCUAUACCAGAUCAGCUGGAUGAGGUCGAAGAGAAACUUGAAGAUUUGCAUUCAUCACUCAAAAGUUGUACCUUACCUGAAUGUUGAUUCUUAAUUUUUCAUCUGCAAGGCAUGGUUCUCUCCGCUGGUUCUACUCCUUGGUUGAACAAACUUAUAAUCCAUGUUACAAGACAGGUAGAAUUAUUUUUUUACAAGACAAGUAGAACCAUUUUACUUUUGCCUCCUCGGUUUAUUCUUUGAUGAACACAUCAUUUCACGAUUUGUGUUGUAAAAAUUUAAUGGUCUUGGACUAGAUGGUUCUGUUAUAAAGGUAACUAUUAUUAGC